rnacentral:tRNA from 1 species
GCCCCGUUAGUUAAAUGGAUAUAACAAAUCCCUUCUAAGGAUUAAUUGGGGGUUCGAUUCCCUCACGGGGCACAA